rnacentral:rRNA from 1 species
AUGAAGUCGGAAUUGCUAGUAAUCGCGGAUCAGCAUGCCGCGGUGAAUACGUUCCCGGGCCCUUGUACACACCGCCCGUCACACCAUGGGAGCCGGUAAUACCCGAAGUCAGUAGUCCAACCUCGUGAGGACGCUGCCGAAAGGUAGGAUUGGCGACUGGGGUGAAGUCGUAACAAGGUACC